GAUGACACACUUAAUUGGCAUACAUAUUUAAUUAAGCUGCGUGAAGAUCAUGUGUUCUAUCAUUCUGUAAACAUCCUUCCUACCUGGCCAUUGACUUGUCUUAUCAUGGAAAUGAUUUUUCUCUCUUUAGAGAUCGGAAGAGGGUC